rnacentral:rRNA from 1 species
GAUGAACGCUAGCGGCAGGCUUAACACAUGCAAGUCGAGGGGCAGCAUAAACAUUGCUUGCAAUGUUUGAUGGCGACCGGCGCACGGGUGCGUAACGCGUAUGUAACCUACCUCAAACAGGGGCAUAACACUGAGAAAUUGGUACUAAUUCCCCAUAAUACUUUGGAAGGCAUCUUCUGGAGUUGAAAGUUCCGGCGGUUUAAGAUGGACAUGCGUUGUAUUAGCUAGUUGGUGAGGUAACGGCUCACCAAGGCGACGAUACAUAGGGGGACUGAGAGGUUAACCCCCCACAUUGGUACUGAGACACGGACCAGACUCCUACGGGAGGCAGCAGUGAGGAAUAUUGGUCAAUGGAGGCAACUCUGAACCAGCCAAGUAGCGUGCAGGAUGACGGCCCUAUGGGUUGUAAACUGCUUUUAUGCGGGGAUAAAUGAGCCUACGUGUAGGUUUUUGCAGGUACCGCAUGAAUAAGGACCGG